GAGAAGAACGUAGCGAAAUGCGAUACGUAAUGUGAAUUGCAGAAUUCAGUGAAUCAUCGAAUCUUUGAACGCAUAUUGCGCUCUCUGGUAUUCCGGAGAGCAUGCUUGUUUGAGUAUCAGUAAACACCUCAACUCCCCUUUCUUUUUUUGAAAUGGGAGCUGGACUUGAGUGAUCCCAACGCUUUUCUCACCGAAAAGUGGCGGGUUACUUGAAAUGCAGGUGCAGCUGGACUUUUCUCUGAGCUAAAAGCAUAUCUAUUUAGUCUGCCUAAAAAACAGAUUAUUACCUUUGCUGCAGCUAACAUAAAGGAGAUUAGUUCUUGUGCUGACUGAUGCAGGAUUCACAGAGACAGCUUCGGCUGGCCUUUGUAAACUCGAUCUCAAAUCAAGUAAGACUACCCGCUGAACUUAAGCAUAUCAAUAAGCGGAGGA
rnacentral:misc_RNA from 1 species